UUUGGUUUUUUUUUUUUUGCCGAGUCCCCCCGCUUGUGUAAAAUUAUGAGGGUUAGGUGACUUAUUAAAAGUGUCAUACAUUUUUAUCCUCUAGAUAAAUGUUUUGUUCCAGCUUGCUAUGGUAUCGCAUGGCCUUUACCCUUCCAUCAGAGACAGAUAAUGCUAGUUUUUGGAGACGUUAACUACUGACUUACACAGAGAUGGACAUUAUGUGCAGCUAAGUUUUAUAUAUAUUCAUAUCUUUAAACUGGUUCCUUUGAGAGGGCAAAUUAAAAGCUACUUAGAAUCCUCAGUUGCAGAAACAAUAUCAAAGGAAUGGUGGAGUGGGUUACAAUUUCCCACCAUUAACAAUUUUUCACUGUUACACAGACAGGAAAGCAAAAGAACAACAAAAACCUCUUACCCAAGAAAACUCAUUUUCAGGGGUGAGGUCCUUCAUCUCAGAUAGUGAUGUAAUAAAUAAAAUCCAGGGGUAAACUAAUAUGGUUAAUUAAUGGUUUGUUCAUUUGAGCAGUAUAGGUCAUAGCCAUUUCAAUAGGUAUGAUCAAAUAUUUCACAUUCUUCUAAAGUAAUUCAUUGUUCUUUCUGCAACUGUUUAAUCUUUCAUGAAUGCAAGCACGGAGUUUAGAUAGAUGUUGGACCCAACCCUGUGAGGGAUAGCUCCAUAUGGGUGUUUGUGUUAUGAAAGAAGCUGUAGCUGAUCCAGGUCAUGAGAAGUUUGCUCAGCAGUACAUCUUUUUCUAAAGACAGCAGGGCUGUAACCAUGUCCUGUCAAGAAUUAAAGAUUAGAAUUUCAGGUGUACUCCUCUUAAGCAGGGUUUCUUGUAUUACUGGAUUUCUUUCUUCUGUAAAUAGCUUUACUGAGAUAUAAUUCACAUACCAUAAUUUAACUAUACAAUUUAAACUACACAUUUAAACUAUACAAUUCAAUGUUUUUUUAGUAUAGUAACAGCUGUGCAACCAUCACUGUAGUCUUAAUUUUAGAGCAUUUUCAUCACCUC